rnacentral:lncRNA from 1 species
GGCUCUGAUACCACUUUUGAGUUUUGGUGAUGUAGUGAAAUAUAGCUUUCAAAAUUUUUUUACAUGCAUUCAAUAAUGAAAACAAAGUUUAACAAUUAAAUACAACCACCGGAACUCAAAACCUUAGUAACCCUUUGAUGAUUACAAUCAAAUCACAAAAUAUGUAAAUCAGGAGAAGACCAGAAGUUAUAUACCACCAU